rnacentral:lncRNA from 1 species
AAAAAUCAAUACAAACGGGAAAUGAUUUUAGUUUCAGCAACAACAGAUAGUUUUAAGUUUAAACAAGACAACAACAACAACAAGUUCAACAAACAGCAAAACCAUAAGUUUAAGUUUUAAGUUUUAACACACAACACAGCAAAUUUAAAAACAAAUUACAUAGGGUCUUCUUCUUCUUAUUCUUGCCACACCACAACACAUCACAUCACCACCUGAAUCGGAGGCAAGCUCUCAUUUUGAUCACCAGAAUCAGCCACCUCAAUAUCUG